rnacentral:lncRNA from 1 species
UCUCGGUAAUCCACACACAUUCAAACCUUACCAUGCUUCUUUGAGACUGGAAUAAUGUUUGCUAACCUUUCGGGGUAGUCAACCAUAUAGAGAAAAUUGGCCUUAAUGCUUAGCGACCUACUUUCAUAUCUUCUCUACCCAUUCCGGCCUUAGUCUUCUUAUCUUCUGCUUGACCGGCUUGACGUGCGGAUGAGUUGGGAUAUG